rnacentral:lncRNA from 1 species
CAUUAUUGAUGUACAAACGUUAUUGAUACAGGAAGUGACAGACAGUUCUUCUGUUGUGUCAGAUCGUGUUCAAUAUAAAUAUUUGCAAUGUUAUUAAAAGAUGGUCAAGUAGACCUAUCACAUUGAUUGAGUUUGAACAACUUCUUCACGCACCUCCUUGCAAUGCUGACUUGCACCACGAAUGCUGUCUUCCCACAAAGGCGACUGAUGAGCGGCUGGUUGCUGGUUGCAAGCAGUGGAAGACACACAGCAGAGUGGUUCAUUCAAUGGGAGCAGUGGUGUCUCUUUACCAGGGCCUUUGUGUGUAGAACAGGUUGGGUUGUAGCAUUGUGGCUCUAACCGGCAGAGCUGACAUAGAUCCAGUUAAUAACUAAAGGCCCCCACUACACAGUGGGAUCCCUAUCUGCCUGCCACACUGACCUCUGAGAGGGGCUACCCAGGGGGCCUUGGUGUCCCUGUCCCCCAGUCACAAUGAGGGGCAUCCAGCAUCGCCCUGCAUCGCCCUCCACCCCCCCUGCAGACAGUGCACCUGCCCAGCUACCCCCCCAUCCCCCAGAGUGGUGUCUGUGUGCGGCCAGGGCCGGCAUUCCACUCGGACACUGAUGCAGAGUGACCAGAGUGACCGUUUCACACAAGCUGCCCUCCAGUAGAGCUGUGCUGGAGCCAGACUCAGGCAGGCAGGCCUGAGAGAACAGGGGACAGGAGGGGACACAGGAUGGACAUCCUUAACUGGAAGGCGUCAGACUUACUGAUGACCGUAAACCUUUGGAGGAUCCCGACCCAAUAUAGGUCCAUCCAUUCACUGUUAUCGUUGGAGAGGCUGGACCCCUAUAGCUGGACACACACUGUUUGCUCUGGCUUUACAGUCUGUGGACUUACAUUACAAUGUGUAGAUUUAGUGAUUCUGAAACAAGUCAUGGGGCUUUCUAGAAAGAGAAUGGCGGCUGUUCUCCCCCCUCCUGCCCCACUGGAAGCCCCCAAUGUCUGUCAGACUCAGCUCCAAACAGAUGGCAGGCAUUCAACAGUGGGGCCCCAGCUUUGCUAAGCUAAAAUACCUGAUUACAAUUCACCAAUACAAUUCAAAUAUGAUACCGGGGCUUAGGGAUAACGCCUCUGUAACAAUAUCAUUUAUUUUCUCCAUGUACUCUUUAUCCAUGUCUUACUGGGAGAGGAGACCACAAAGCCUUCACCAAACAGAUCAAACAAAUAGAAGCUGGUUUGUUGUUUUCCCUGUUUGCCAGCUGGGUUUAUCUGUCCACUUCUAGCUUUUCUUUAGGAAUGUGUAGAGUUAUUUUUGUGAAGUGAAAAAUUAGAUUUUUAUUAUGUAUAUCAUUUUUGGGAAUUGG